UGANUGGCGGCGGCUACACAUCCAAGUCUUUACGGCAGCACAGAGGAACUUGUUCCUUGGGUGGCGAGCGGCGGACGGGUGAGUAAUGCCUAGGAAAUUGCCCUGAUGUGGGGGAUAACCAUUGGAAACGAUGGCUAAUACCGCAUGAUGCCUACGGGCCAAAGAGGGGGACCUUCGGGCCUCUCGCGUCAGGAUAUGCCUAGGUGGGAUUAGCUAGUUGGUGAGGUAAUGGCUCACCAAGGCGACGAUCCCUAGCUGGUCUGAGAGGAUGAUCAGCCACACUGNCAACUGAGACACGGUCCAGACUCCUACGGGAGGCAGCAGUGGGGAAUAUUGCACAAUGGGCGCAAGCCUGAUGCAGCCAUGCCGCGUGUAUGAAGAAGGCCUUCGGGUUGUAAAGUACUUUCAGUCGUGAGGAAGGUUUUUGCGUUAAUAGCGCAGGGAUUUGACGUUAGCGACAGAAGAAGCACCGGCUAACUCCGUGCCAGCAGCCGCGGUAAUACGGAGGGUGCGAGCGUUAAUCGGAAUUACUGGGCGUAAAGCGCAUGCAGGUGGUGGAUUAAGUCAGAUGUGAAAGCCCGGGGCUCAACCUCGGAACCGCAUUUGAAACUGGUUCACUAGAGUACUGUAGAGGGGGGUAGAACUUUCGGUGUNGCGGUGAAAUGCGUAGAUCUGAAGGAUCCGGUUGGCGAAGGCGGCCCCCNG
rnacentral:rRNA from 1 species